CUCAUUGUGACUGUGAGCAUCCGCACUGGGAUGGAUCUCCGGAAUCAAAUGGUCCUCCAUGAGAGCCACAAGCGAACAUUCAACAACUUGAAAACUGGAUUGAAAAUGAGAGACAGAGCAGCCACUGCAGAAGCUUCCAAAAUCACUCUGCACCUUCUUGAACUGCUGCAAUCUGCGAAGUGAAGUAGCUCCCAUGUUGCAAUUUGGUUGAUGAUAUCCUUCGAAGAACAGGAGAUCUGAAGUGGACACAUUACUCCAGAAGAGGCCUCACUGAUGUUCUGCACAAGUUCAACAUAACGUCCC